rnacentral:RNase_P_RNA from 1 species
CAGCUGGACCGGACGGUCGCUUUCCGCGUCUUCGGACGCGGGGAGAGGAAAGUCCGAACUCCGCAGAGCAGUGUGCCGGAUAACGUCCGGGAGGAAGUGGCCCAUCCUUGCCCGCUUUUUGCGCAAGGGUGGGGAGACUCUCGACGGAAAGUGCCACAGAAAACAUACCGCCUCGGCGGCAACGCCGGGGUAAGGGUGAAAAGGUGCGGUAAGAGCGCACCGCUGUCGCAGCAAUGCGGCGGGCAGGGCAAACCCCACACGGAGCAAGACCAAAUAGGGAGGAAGGCCGGGACUUCGGUUCCGGACACGUGCCGGCUCGGUGCGUCAAACCUUCGGGUAGGUCGCUAGAGCCGCGCAGCAAUGCGCGGCCCAGAGGAAUGGCCGUCCCGCCGGAGCAAUCCGGCGGACAGAAUUCGGCUUACAGGUCCGGCUGCCAC